AAAUGACAUGACGAUCAAUAUGUUAAUGACCUUUGCAGUUGUUCUUUUGUUACGCCGAAUCAUGACAACUGGUGGGGAAUAAACAAAAAACUUCUCAGACGCUCAGCAAUUGCUGCAAAUUUAAUUAUAAUUUUGG